rnacentral:rRNA from 1 species
GCGACCACGUGAGUGUAAGCGAAUCCCAAAAAUAAACGUCUCAGUUCGGAUUGUAGUCUGCAACUCGACUACAUGAAGCUGGAAUCGCUAGUAAUCGCGAAUCAGAAUGUCGCGGUGAAUACGUUCCCGGGUCUUGUACACACCGCCCGUCACACCAUGGGAGUCAGUAACGCCCGAAGCCGGUGAGGUAACCGAGAGGAGCCAGCCGUCGAAGGUGAGACCAAUGACUGGGGUGAAGUCGUAACAAGGUAUC